rnacentral:siRNA from 1 species
CUCAAUGCUUGUGGUACA